rnacentral:rRNA from 1 species
UUAAACUGGAGAGUUUGAUCCUGGCUCAGAUUGAACGCUGGCGGUAUGCUUAACACAUGCAAGUCGAACGGUAACGAUGGGAGCUUGCUCCCAGGCGACGAGUGGCGGACGGGUGAGUAAUGCAUAGGAAUCUGCCUAGUAGUGGGGGACAACCUGGGGAAACUCAGGCUAAUACCGCAUACGACCUACGGGUGAAAGUGGGGGAUCUUCGGACCUCACGCUAUUAGAUGAGCCUAUGCCUGAUUAGCUUGUUGGUGGGGUAAUGGCCUACCAAGGCAACGAUCAGUAGCUGGUCUGAGAGGAUGAUCAGCCACACUGGGACUGAGACACGGCCCAGACUCCUACGGGAGGCAGCAGUGGGGAAUAUUG